ensembl:lncRNA
CCUGUGCAAUCCUUCUGGUCAUCAACAUGAGCUCCUCGUUCAAAGACGCCCACAGAGAAGCUCUGGAGGAGCAGCUGGAGGCCGGAGGAGGUCGCCUGUGGAGGAGAACCAUGGUGCUGUUCAGUUACGGGGACUGGCUGGGCGACACGAGCAUCGAGCAGCGAAUCGAGAGCGAAGGCGAGUCGCUGCAGAGACUGGUGGAGAAAUGUGGGAACAGAUAUAAUGUUUUGGAUAAUAAGCACUGGGGAGAUGGAGCUCAGGUGAAGGAGCUGAUGGAGCUGGUGGAGGAGAUGCUGGUUGCAGAAAGGAUGGAUGCUCUCCAGGGAGGUGACCACAUGUACAAAAGCGUUUCUUCAGCACAAAAUGCAAUGACUCUAAGUAAGAAGGAUAUAAAGGAGCUCAUAAAGAGAAGACAUCAGCUGCUCAGUGCCUUGCCUGAAUCAGCCACUUCUACACCAAACUGCACCGCUGCUGCUGCUCAAACUGUGGCUUUACCAGCCCACAGAGCCAGACGACUGACUGGAUUCACCAUCGUGGACAUGUCCUACAUCACCUCAGUGCUCUCUGGUGCAGAAGGACUGAGGUGGCCGACGGGGAAUCUACCUGUCCGGCUCUCUGCUCCUCACCUGAAACUGAACAACUUCAUGCAUCCCAGAAAUCAAACGAUGCUUCUGGUUUCAUCUCAAAAUCACCACAGUACCCUCGCAGAGGAAGAUACCAUCAGUGUACACAGCCUCUGCCAUCCUGUGCUGAAAGAUCGGACUCUCAGGAGGCUUUCUGAGUCCGGAGGCCUGCAGAUGCUCAUCGAUCAGUGGGGCAGCAGCAGCCUGGAGGAGCUGGAGGCCUUCAUCGACUCCUACUUUGAGUUGGUGUGGGAGGAGACCAUGGGGUCGUGUCAGGAUGCCGAACCCGACUGUGAGACUGCAGAGCUGGACGCCGUCAUCAGGGAAGUUGCAGAAGAGGAGAAGGAAAAGGAGGUUCUCUCUUCCAUUGAUAGGAAACUUUCAAAGCUGGAGAUCCUCGAGGAGAUCCGGAGUGAUCUGGUGGAGCUGAAACAGAGUCUGGAGAGCAGCUGGAGAGCCAUUCAGGAGCUUGGAGACAAAAACAAACCAGACCAAGAUGACACAUGUUGAUAAAGAGGAGUCAGUGAUCAAAACUUCAGGCAGAAAGAGAGAAUUAAUCAUUUUUUCACAGCCAUAAUAAUAAAUGGAUGUAAAGAAGAAGAAAAAAGAAAUGGGGC